CAGCACUGGGGUUACAUACACAACUGAGAGUGACACAGUCCAUCCUCUCUGAGACCUUUUCUUAUUCCUCAAAAGGUUUCAGCAGCUCAGUUUAGAUGGAGUAAUAAAGUCAGUAAUAAAAAGCCAGUUAGAAAAGCCCCCUUACUCUUUGCUACAAUUACAUGGAAUUAAGUGGUUAAAAAGAAGAGAAAGAAGGAGAACUUUCUGAGAAGAGAGCUGAGGAAAGAGGUAAAGAUGUUAGUGUGUCAAGGACAGGGUGAGCUAACCAGACUGGUAGGAUUGUAAUGUUGAGGAUGGGACAUCCUGGGGGACAAAGAAAGAACUAUGUGCAUUAGACACCUGGUGUAUUGCAAGCUACAUGUUUCAACAUGCAUUAGUCCACGUCAUUCUUACAACAAACUUGUGAAGUAGGUAUAAUGAUCCCAUUUUAUAAAUAAGGAAAAUAGAAGGUUUGACGGGUAAUUUGAGACCACAGCAUACGAAACCUUGACACGACCAUUUCUCUUCCUUUCCUUUAACUGGUAACCUCUCAGUUCAACCAUUCUCCUGCAGAUUAGAAUUGACUAUUAGAAACCAUGGCAACCCCGGAAACAUUCGGAACACAACAAAUGUAUGUGGGAUGGAAGUGUAUCCAAGAACGCAGUGUAAUUCAGGACAAGCAGGUUUGGGGAGUACUUCCUGGGGAGGUUCAAGAACUUAAGCAAAGGCUUGAAUAUGAGCUCCCAGGUAGGAAAGCUGGGACUGCUUAUAAACAGAAAAGAAAUUUCCCUGCAAAAAUUGGCAAUGAGUCGUUUGACUACCUGUAGAGACGAUUCAAUGAGAGCUGCCCUCUAACUUAAAGUUAACAAUUUGUCUUCCUGAUAUUUAAUAAUGACAAUGAUAAUAAUACUAUUUAUUGAACACAAACAGUGCCAAACACUGUUGGAUCCUUUCUAUGCAUUAUCCGGAAUCCUUUGGUCAACCCUGUAAGAUUCUGGACCUGUGAUUUCUGAAGACCCAACUCAAUAAAGACGCAUUUGCCUGUUUGCAAGGGUAGUUUUUCUCCCUCCCUCCCUUGAGGUGCUGCGCUUCAAGUGCUGCUCAGGCUGAAGAGAUGAAGGAAGAGCUCCUGGUUAUCUUUCAGUGAUGGAAGGUGCCAGGAACUUCUUUGCAUUUGAUGUCAGAGAACCAUGUAUUUCUUGAUAUAUCCAGAGAAGAAAGAAGUUGGUCAAGUUUAGGAUCAAUGAAACCAAUUAGGGUCAGGCUAAAUGCCACAUUUUAUCAAUUACAAUACUUG